GACGAACGCUGGCGGCGUGCUUAACACAUGCAAGUCGAACGGAAAGGCCCCCUUGUGGGGUACUCGAGUGGCGAACGGGUGAGUAACACGUGAGUAACCUACCCUUGACUUUGGGAUAACUUCAGGAAACUGGGGCUAAUACCGGAUAGGAGCUCCUGCUGCAUGGUGGGGGUUGGAAAGUUUCGGCGGUUGGGGAUGGACUCGCGGCUUAUCAGCUUGUUGGUGGGGUAGUGGCUCACCAAGGCUUUGACGGGUAACCGGCCUGAGAGGGUGACCGGCCACAUUGGGACUGAGAUACGGCCCAGACUCCUACGGGAGGCAGCAGUGGGGAAUAUUGCACAAUGGGCGGAAGCCUGAUGCAGCAACGCCGCGUGCGGGAUGACGGCCUUCGGGUUGUAAACCGCUUUCGCCUGUGACGAAGCGUGAGUGACGGUAAUGGGUAAAGAAGCACCGGCUAACUACGUG
rnacentral:rRNA from 1 species